UUGAAAUCUUAGUGUUGUACCUUGAUUCACUAGUUUUGAGUACAAACUUACAAAAUUUCGAUAGAAAAAUGAAUGUCGCAUUAUCCGCUCAAAUUUUUGCGUGUACACAGCGUGGCCGCACAUUAAAAAAUGUAAUUUAAAUUCGCAAGAUAAUUCAUCUUUUAUGCAUCACUAACUGAACGGUAAAGCUAAACAGGAUCAGUUUAUCGUUCCAUCCAACGGUAUUGUGUGGAUCAAUGGACAGCGCUUCGUGCGCAAGCAGUCAGCAGUGCAGUCGGUGCGGAUCGGCGAAAUUACUGAUCAAAACAUCUCAUCGAGAAUCAACUGAAUUUUGCAACGGGAUGUGCAACGAAAUCACAAGAAGUGUUCCGUUUGCUGUACCGCACGUUGCUGCAUGAUCGCUUUCUGCAUCGUAACAACGGUGAUUAUCUUGGCGGUUACAGUGGCGGCAACGGCAAUAAUUAUCACGAAUUCCGGUAAAACUUCAGAUAAGAAAUUAACUGAUAACGAGACCUCGACAUCGUCUCCAUCAACGGAUGAAGACUCUCUGCAGCCAACGACAAACCAGACGUAUUUGUGCGCGAAAGAUAGCGACUG